GGCGGGCGGGAGCGAGGGGAGGAGGCGGCGGCCGCCGCGCGUUCCCGCCCGCGCGGCCCGGCAGUGCCCUGGCCCGCGCUCGGUGACCGGCACCCGGCCCUCGCGCGCCCCGGGGAAGAGCUCCCCCCUCACCCGUAACUUCCCGCAGACUAAGGGGGCGCUCGGGACACGCGUUCCCCCAGCGGCCGGAAGGCCCAGGGCAUCUCAGGUCAAGGUGGCCCCCACAGAGUGUCUGAUGCGAGGGAAGAGCAAGCCCUCAGCAGACCUUCGCCCCUGCUCUGUGCAGCCCCAGGCAGAGUUUCUUCAGUACCCUCUGCCAGAAAUGGCAGUGAUGAUGCUGUCUCCACGCAAGAGCC
ensembl:lncRNA